rnacentral:lncRNA from 1 species
AGAGGAAAUACAGCUCACAGCUCGAGGAAGGCAUUUCUACAGCUUGUGCCUAAAACACAGCGCCUGGAGUAGUAGCUUGAAUGUUUCUGGACUCAAGGAAUCUCAGAAGUAGAUCGACAGGGGGGCAAGAUAGUUUCUCACUGCCUGUUCUAUCACCAUGAAUGGCAUUAUCUCAGUGUGGGCUACUGAACACUGGUGAUAUCUACGCAGAAUCCAGGAACUCAGUAAGUCGAGGAACAGGGGCCUCUCACUAGGGAAGACAGUAUCAAGUUUUAUACUUGUGGAAAUGGCCACAAUCCUAUUCAUCUUACAGCUAUGGAGGUCAGCCAUCCACAACAGCUUUCCUGGGGUCUCCCUAUACAAUAUAUAACCCGGGCUGGCCUGGAACUCACUAGACAGGAGCCUAGCACUGCUGCCCUCUGAGAGGCCCAACAAGCAGCUGAACAAGUCAGAUGCAGAUACUUACACCCAAACAAUAGAGAGAAGCUGGUGACCCCUGUGGUUGAAUUAAGGAAAGGCUGGAAGAAGCUGAGG